UACGGAGGGUGCGAGCGUUGUCCGGAAUCACUGGGCGUAAAGGGCGCGUAGGGGCGCGGGGAGUCAACGGUGAAAGCUCGGCGCUCAACGCCGAGUCGGCCGUCGAUACUCCCGUGCUCGAGCACUGUAGAGGCAGGUGGAAUUCCGGGUGUAGCGGUGGAAUGCGUAGAGAUCCGGAAGAACACCGGUGGCGAAGGCGGCCUGCUGGGCAGUAGCUGACGCUGAGGCGCGACAGCGUGGGGAGCAAACAGG
rnacentral:rRNA from 1 species